AAGAAGCGCCGGGCUAACUACGUGCCAGCAGCCGCGGUAAUACGUAGGGCGCAAGCGUUAUCCGGAAUUAUUUGGGCGUAAAGAGCUCGUAGGCGGUUUGUCGCGUCUGCCGUGAAAGUCCGGGGCUCAACUCCGGAUCUGCGGUGGGUACGGGCAGACUAGAGUGAUGUAGGGGAGACUGGAAUUCCUGGUGUAGCGGUGAAAUGCGCAGAUAUCAGGAGGAACACCGAUGGCGAAGGCAGGUCUCUGGGCAUUAACUGACGCUGAGGAGCGAAAGCAUGGGGAGCGAACAGGAUUAGAUACCCUGGUAGUCCAUGCCGUAAACGUUGGGCACUAGGUGUGGGGGACAUUCCACGUUUUCCGCGCCGUAGCUAACGCAUUAAGUGCCCCGCCUGGGGAGUACGGCCGCAAGGCUAAAACUCAAAGGAAUUGACGGGGGCCCGCACAAGCGGCGGAGCAUGCGGAUUAAUUCGAUGCAACGCGAAGAACCUUACCAAGGCUUGACAUGGACCGGACCGCCGCAGAAAUGUGGUUUCUCCUUUUGGGGCCGGUUCACAGGUGGUGCAUGGUUGUCGUCAGCUCGUGUCGUGAGAUGUUGGGUUAAGUCCCGCAACGAGCGCAACCCUCGUUCCAUGUUGCCAGCACUUAGGGUGGGGACUCAUGGGAGACUGCCGGGGUCAACUCGGAGGAAGGUGGGGACGACGUCAAAUCAUCAUGCCCCUUAUGUCUUGGGCUUCACGCAUGCUACAAUGGCCGGUACAAAGGGUUGCGAUACUGUGAGGUGGAGCUAAUCCCAAAAAGCCGGUCUCAGUUCGGAUUGGGGUCUGCAACUCGACCCCAUGAAGUCGGAGUCGCUAGUAAUCGCAGAUCAGCAACGCUGCGGUGAAUACGUUCCCGGGCCUUGUACACACCGCCCGUCAAGUCACGAAAGUUGGUAACACCCGAAGU
rnacentral:rRNA from 1 species